rnacentral:rRNA from 1 species
CCUACGGGCGGCUGCAGUGGGGAAUAUUGGACAAUGGGCGAAAGCCUGAUCCAGCCAUGCCGCGUGUGUGAAGAAGGCCUUCGGGUUGUAAAGCACUUUCAGUGGGGAAGAAAGCCUUGGGGCUAAUACCCUCGAGGAAGGACAUCACCCACAGAAGAAGCACCGGCUAACUCCGUGCCAGCAGCCGCGGUAAUACGGAGGGUGCGAGCGUUAAUCGGAAUUACUGGGCGUAAAGCGCGCGUAGGCGGUCUGAUAAGCCGGUUGUGAAAGCCCCGGGCUCAACCUGGGAACGGCAUCCGGAACUGUCAGGCUAGAGUGCAGGAGAGGAAGGUAGAAUUCCCGGUGUCGCGGUGAAAUGCGUAGAGAUCGGGAGGAAUACCAGUGGCGAAGGCGGCCUUCUGGACUGACACUGACGCUGAGGUGCGAAAGCGUGGGUAGCAAACAGGAUUAGAUACCCUGGUAGUC